GGGAAUCUAAGUGCUCACAACCGAAACAAGCAUCAGAAGAUCAAGCGUCAUUUCUGCCCUGAAUGCCGCGCGGGCUUUUUCCAAAGACAAGAGCUUGCAGCGCAUAUGGCGGCGCACGCCGGCGAACGCGCUCACAGGUGCACUCUGUGCCCCAAGCGGUACCCCCGCAAGAAAGCUCUUAUAGUACACAUGAGAACGCACACAGACGAUCGCCGGUUCGCUUGUGAGGUGUGCGGUAAACGGUUCAUUCAAAAAUGCACCUUACUCGUACACGCUAAGGUCCACAGUCGCGCAGAUAAGACAGUUGAAGUGAGCACAGCGAAUUGUAGUGUUACAGAGUGAUUUGUAAUAAAAUAUCCAAAAAUC